rnacentral:rRNA from 1 species
GAUGAACGCUAGCUACAGGCUUAACACAUGCAAGUCGAGGGGCAGCAUUUUAGUUUGCUUGCAAACUGAAGAUGGCGACCGGCGCACGGGUGAGUAACACGUAUCCAACCUGCCGAUAACUCCGGGAUAGCCUUUCGAAAGAAAGAUUAAUACCGGAUGGCAUACGAAUAUCGCAUGAUAUUUUUAUUAAAGAAUUUCGGUUAUCGAUGGGGAUGCGUUCCAUUAGUUUGUUGGCGGGGUAACGGCCCACCAAGGCUACGAUGGACAGGGGUUCUGAGAGGAAGGUCCCCCACAUUGGAACUGAGACACGGUCCAAACUCCUACGGGAGGCAGCAGUGAGGAAUAUUGGUCAAUGGGCGAGAGCCUGAACCAGCCAAGUAGCGUGAAGGAUGAAGGCUCUAUGGGUCGUAAGCUUCUUUUAUAUGGGAAUAAAGUUUUCCACGUGUGGAAUUUUGUAUGUACAUAUGAAUAAGGAUCGGCUAACUCC